rnacentral:lncRNA from 1 species
GGUUACACGAAGCAGUUAGGUUUCGGGUAAUUCGAAAGAUGAGGAUGCUGAUCUUUUAAGUUCAAACGGGAAUCAUGGCGAAAAAGAAUCAGUUAUGUCGGAUAGAAUGGAAAUUCAGUUGGAACCAACGUCGGGUGGGAGGUAACUAAAGUGGAUGUGCGUACGGUCUUACUCAUGCUCUUGGAUGUCGUUUAUGUUUAUCGUUGAAUAACGUUGUAAACUUUUCAGACAAUAUGCUGUCUCGUGAUGUAAACACUUAAACUAUGAUUUCAGUUAUGUAAUGUUUG